UUUAAUCCCGCUUUCCACCAGUGAACCCCUGAGUACAGCUGUGGUUAGGGAUUAGAUCCAGGCCUGGAUCAGAAUCUCUGUAAGAUAACAGAGAUGAGGUUUCUAUUAAAAAAUAGUUAUUUUCCUGCAGCCAUCUCACAUUCAACACUGAUUUCAUCCUACAAACAGUUAUAUCAUCCACAAAUGGAAGUUCAACAAAAACACCACUUCUCUUUCCUCUACAUCUACAUCAUUAUGGACAGAGUCAUGGGCUUGACACAUCCUGUCACUGGAUUUAUGGCCAG